AUUGAACGCUGGCGGCAUGCUUUACAACUGCAAGUCGAACGGUAACAGGCCGCAAGAUGAAGACGAGUGGCGAACGGGUGAGUAAUGCAUCGGAACGUACCCAGUCGUGGGGGAUAACGCAGCGAAAGCUACGCUAAUACCGCAUACGAUCUAUGGAUGAAAGCGGGGGACCGUAAGGCCUCGCGCGAUUGGAGCGGCCGAUGUCAGAUUAGGUAGUUGGUGAGGUAAAGGCUCACCAAGCCAACGAUCUGUAGCUGGUCUGAGAGGACGACCAGCCACACUGGGACUGAGACACGGCCCAGACUCCUACGGGAGGCAGCAGUGGGGAAUUUUGGACAAUGGGCGCAAGCCUGAUCCAGCAAUGCCGCGUGCAGGAAGAAGGCCUUCGGGUUGUAAACUGCUUUUGUACGGAACGAAACGGUCCGGGUUAAUACCCUGGCUAAUGACGGUACCGUAAGAAUAAGCACCGGUUAACUACGUGCCAGCCGCCGCAGUAACAC
rnacentral:rRNA from 1 species